rnacentral:rRNA from 1 species
CACGGAGUUAGCCGGUGCUUAUUCGUAUAGUACCUUCAGCUACUCUCACGAGAGUAGGUUUAUCCCUAUACAAAAGAAGUUUACAACCCAUAGGGCCGUCGUCCUUCACGCGGGAUGGCUGGAUCAGGCUCUCACCCAUUGUCCAAUAUUCCUCACUGCUGCCUCCCGUAGGAGUCUGGUCCGUGUCUCAGUACCAGUGUGGGGGAUCACCCUCUCAGGCCCCCUAAAGAUCAUUGACUUGGUGAGCCGUUACCUCACCAACUAUCUAAUCUUGCGCGUGCCCAUCUCUAUCCACCGGAGUUUUCAAUAUUCAAUGAUGCCAUCAAAUAUAUUAUGGGGUAUUAAUCUUCCUUUCGAAAGGCUAUCCCCCUGAUAAAGGUAGGUUGCACACGUGUUCCGCACCCGUGCGCCGCUCUCAAGAUUCCGAAGAAUCUCUACCGCUCGGCUUGCAUGUGUUAGGCCUCCCGCUAGCGUUCAUCCUGAGCCAGGAUCAAACU